UUGCUCACUUUGGUAGCACAUAUACUAAAAUUGAAAUGAUACAGAGAAGAUUAGCAUGGCCUCUGUGCAAGGAUGACAUGAAAAUUUGUGAAGCAUUUCAUAUAUUU
rnacentral:snRNA from 1 species